UACGUAGGGGGCAAGCGUUGUCCGGAUUUAUUGGGCGUAAAGAGCGUGUAGGCGGCUUUACAGGUCCGUUGUGAAAACUCGAGGCUCAACCUCGAGACGCCGGUGGAAACCGUAAAGCUAGAGUCCGGAAGAGGAGAGUGGAAUUCCUGGUGUAGCGGUGAAAUGCGCAGAUAUCAGGAGGAACACCAAUGGCGAAGGUAGCUCGCUGGGACGUGACUGACGCUGAGACGCGAAAGCGUGGGGAGCAAACAGG
rnacentral:rRNA from 1 species